rnacentral:rRNA from 1 species
GACGAACGCUGGCGGCGUGCUUAACACAUGCAAGUCGAGCGGUAAGGCCCUUUCGGGGGUACACGAGCGGCGAACGGGUGAGUAACACGUGGGUGACCUGCCUUUAGCUCUGGGAUAAGCCUGGGAAACUGGGUCUAAUACCGGAUAUGACUCCAUGACGCAUGUUGUGGGGUGGAAAGCCUUGUGCGGCUAGGGAUGGGCCCGCGGCCUAUCAGCUUGUUGGUGGGGUGAUGGCCUACCAAGGCGACGAUCCGUAGCUGGUCUGAGAGGAUGAUCAGCCACACUGGAACUGAGACACGGUCCAGACUCCUACGGGAGGCAGCAGUGGGGAAUAUUGGACAAUGGGCGCAAGCCUGAU